rnacentral:tRNA from 4 species
GGGCCCGUAGCUCAGCUCGGUAGAGUGCUACCCUGGCAUGGUAGAAGCCGCGAGUUCAAAUCUCGCCGGGUCCA